rfam:Ornithorhynchus anatinus chromosome 4, whole genome shotgun sequence.
CCCCUCUCGGGAUGCCACCUGGAGAGUUUCCAGGACUCUACCGGUCUCGGCUAUGGGAGGGAGAGUUAAGCAGAGGCCUACCUAUUCCAUUCCUAGCUUGACCAGUGGCUAGCGAGAGGAAGGUCUUCUGCUACAAGU